GAUGAACGCUGGCGGCGUGCUUAACACAUGCAAGUCGAACGAUGAAGCCCAGCUUGCUGGGUGGAUUAGUGGCGAACGGGUGAGUAACACGUGAGUAACCUGCCCUUAACUCUGGGAUAAGCCUGGGAAACUGGGUCUAAUACCGGAUAGGAGCGUCCACCGCAUGGUGGGUGUUGGAAAGAUUUAUCGGUUUUGGAUGGACUCGCGGCCUAUCAGCUUGUUGGUGAGGUAAUGGCUCACCAAGGCGACGACGGGUAGCCGGCCUGGGAGGGUGACCGGCCACACGGGGACGGAGACACGGCCCAGACCCCUACGGGGGGCAGCGGGGGGGAAUAUGGCAAAAGGGGCCAAAGCCUGAUGCAGGGACGCCGGGGGGGGGAGGACGGCCUUGGGGUUGGAAACCUCUUUCAGGAGGAAAGAAGCGAAAGUGACGGUCCCGGAAAAAGAAGCACCGGCUAACUACGU
rnacentral:rRNA from 1 species